rnacentral:rRNA from 1 species
CUAGCCGUAAACGAUGGAUACUAGGCGUUGUGAGUAUCGACCCUCACAGUGUCGUAGCUAACGCGUUAAGUAUCCCGCCUGGGGAGUACGCGCGCAGGCGCGAAACUCAAAGGAAUUGACGGGGGCCCGCACAAGCGGUGGAGUAUGUGGUUUAAUUCGAUGCAACGCGAAGAACCUUACCAGGACUUGACAUGUCGCGAAUCUCAGGGAAACUUGAGAGUGCCUUCGGGAGCGCGAACACAGGUGGUGC